rnacentral:rRNA from 1 species
AUGCAACGCGAAGAACCUUACCAGGGUUUGACAUGAUACGGAUCUUUUUGAAAAAAAAGAGGCCUUUAGGAAACGUAUGCACAGGUGGUGCAUGGCUGUCGUCAGCUCGUGUCGUGAGAUGUUGGGUUAAGUCCCGCAACGAGCGCAACCCUCAUUUUUAGUUGCUUUAUAGAACUCUAAAAAGACUGCCGGUUAUAAACCGGAGGAAGGCGGGGAUGACGUCAAGUCAGCAUGCCCCUUACACCCUGGGCUACACACGUGCUACAAUGGACGAGACAAUGAGAUGCAACUCUGCCAAGACUAGCUAAUCUAUAAACUCGUUCUAAGUUCGGAUUGCAGGCUGCAACUCGCCUGCAUGAAGUUGGAAUCGCUAGUAAUCGCUGGUCAGCUACACAGCGGUGAAUUCGUUCCCGGGCCUUGUUCACACCGCCCG